rnacentral:rRNA from 1 species
AUUGAACGCUGGCGGCAGGCCUAACACAUGCAAGUCGAGCGGAUGACGGGAGCUUGCUCCUUGAUUCAGCGGCGGACGGGUGAGUAAUGCCUAGGAAUCUGCCUGGUAGUGGGGGACAACGUUUCGAAAGGAACGCUAAUACCGCAUACGUCCUACGAGAGAAAGCAGGGGACCUUCGGGCCUUGCGCUAUCAGAUGAGCCUAGGUCGGAUUAGCUAGUAGGUGAGGUAAUGGCUCACCUAGGCGACGAUCCGUAACUGGUCUGAGAGGAUGAUCAGUCACACUGGAACUGAGACACGGUCCAGACUCCUACGGGAGGCAGCAGUGGGGAAUAUUGGACAAUGGGCGAAAGCCUGAUCCAGCCAUGCCGCGUGUGUGAAGAAGGUCUUCGGAUUGUAAAGCACUUUAAGUUGGGAGGAAGGGCAGUAAGUUAAUACCUUGCUGUUUUGACGUUACCGACAGAAUAAGCACCGGCUAACUCUGUGCCAGCCGCCGCAGUAACAC